CGUCGGGGAGAGAGCACGCAACUCUCCUCCUCCUCUCCCUCGCGCACCUGCCUCCCGCCGCCACCCCGCUCCGCCUCUCCGUUUCUCCUCUUCGUCUUCCUCCUCGCGAGAGGCGGCGGCCGCGUCUCGGCCUCACUCUUCCCCAGUUCCCGCUCGAGCUCCUCCUCAGUCCCCGCAUCUUCUUGGAUGAGCCGCAGCGGGAGCUGUUGUCGAGCAGGACGGAGCCGGACCGAUGGGGAUGGGAUCUCGGAAGGAGCCACAGGCACCACCGCAGGCGUUCGUCCUCACCUCGGCAAGGCUCGUCUCUGUCGGCCGCCGCUGCUCCAUCUCAGCGCUCAAAGGGGCGCGGGCCGCACCGUCGCUCUGCCUCUCCAUCCUCCCGACCGAGCUGCAGGCGAGGGUUGUGGAGACGGGGCUCGAGAAGUCAGCCAGUUCACUUCUGUGCUUGGUGGAUGGAUGUCGUUGACUGCUAAAAGGUUCUUCGUCGUGUCCUCUCAGGGGGCUCGCCAGGCAAGCAGCAGCAGCUUGCUCCGCGAGAGAGAGCAGGCGGUGCCAGGCAGUGUAGGCAGCACUGGAAGGAACUGCUGUACUGGAAUAUCAUCUCGCAUAAGACCCUCUCCAUUAUCCCCUGUUUGAGUCCAUCUAGGACAUCCGCAAUGAGAACAAGCAUAUGGCCAUCCUCUCCUUCCCCUUCAUUGCACGGUUUGUCAGCUAGUGUUCAUUUUUCUACAUAAAUUAGUUUUUCUUUGUGUGCUCAGACCGUGUAGCAUUACUUUGAUGGUUCAGAUUGGAGGAUAGGCUAUUGCAAGAGGGUUUGUUCCGUUUUAUUGAAUGAUCCAUUCAUCCCUUAACAUUAAAGUUAAUGUUGCAGAUUCUACAGAUGUCAUAAACUGCAAAUACCAGUGCAUUGUUAGCUCAUUGAUUUAUUACUAUAUCGGUACAAAUAAGAGAGGUAAGUUGAGACAUGUAUUCUACUUUUCAAGGAGAGAUGUAAAUUGUUGUGUGUUAUUUUUCAAGGAGAAAGGUGAGGCAUGUAUCUUAGUUUUGGAAUGGGAAGCAUAAUAUAUGUCUCUUUGGACAACUCUUUCUUAUUUUGUUUUGCCACAUACCUUCACUGGCGAGUUCUAGAUGAUAUUAUCUUAUAGGGGAAAUUGAUCGAAUUUGAAAUGAGAAUGAUUCCAUUAUUUGUGUACCUGGCCAGGGGCGCUCAUCCGAAAGAAGUACUUGAGGACAUCUUUGAAUUGUAUCAGACACCUUAUUUAUUGGUAAACGUUGGAGCUGUAGAUUAUUGUUUAUACGCUUUCACUGUCACCGGAUACUUGUCUCUUCUGCUUUGGAAACUGCAUAACAAAAAUGAUGGAUUUACUACUUGAUGUUUGAGUUUAUUAUGUAAUUUGUCGGGUGGUUCAUGUUUAGUCAGCAUUAUUUUUCUUUAUGCUUACAUGGCCCCUGUUUUGGAAUUGUUCAACAUUUAUUGUUUAUAUCAAAUGAUUACUGGUUUCCUACAUCCCCUCCAGGGAACAAUCAGAGGGAAAGCUUGAAGGCACUUUAGGUUAUAUUGGUGAUGAUUCCUAUGUUCAAGCGUAUGGUUAGAGUGUUUGGAGCGGUUUUAUGGAUGCCACAAUCAGGAUAAUGCCAUGGCCAUGGCCAUCGCAUAGGGGAGCCAAGCACUAGGGAGACAAAGAGUUGGGAAGGAAGAGAUUAGGAAGAAGGCAAUUUGCAGUUGUUUGGAAAAAGGGGAGGGAUCAAGCUAUUUUCAGGUCAAAUAUUUGUGGGUGAUUACAGUUUCCAAGGGCUUCACCAAUCCGAAAGGUUGAUUCGGAGUGAACAAUUGACUUUGUUGAGCAGCGGCUAACAUUCGCCACUAUCGUCUUCUAUGCCAUGGUUGUAAGCUCUCUUCUCUGUCGCCUCGUGGGCUUUCAGCGUCUCAUCGAUAUGGAAUUGGGGAUUUUAGAACAUGACAGGCUUGACAAUUUAACUGAUUGCAUUUUAUAAGUUUGUGGACUGAAGUGUUCCCACCAGACAAAUUUUACGUACAAAGUACUACAAUUAUAAUUUACUAUUUAAAAUAUGUUAAUUAGUAUACAAAUUUUACGUGCAAUACUUUCACCAAAGUGUUAUUUUCACCUGGCUAGAGGAAGCAUAGAUUCUGAAUUGUUCGGCUAUUUAUUGGCCAAGUAUUAUGAUUGCACAAUUUGCCUGGAGCUACGAGAAGUAUUUUGUUAGACUUAUUCAUCUUCCUUGGCUAGAAGAGGAGCUAGCGAUGCCUGUAUAAUUUGUAUCAUUUUAAUAUUACCAUAUUGCUCUUUAUUGGAAAACAAUUGACAUAAAGUCUUACAACAGUAUCGCUCA